CGGGGUUUCACCGUGUUAGCCAGGCUGGUCUUGAACUCUGGACCUUGUGAUCUGCCCAUCUCAGCCUCCCAAAGUGCUGGGAUAACACGUGUGAGCCACUGCGCCCAGCCUUAUCUCCUUUUUUAUACAUGAAUAGCAGCGUGCUAUAUAUAUAGUCUUUGCUCCACGCAAUUAUUUUAUUUUAUUUUAUUUUUUUAGAAAGGUUCUUGUUCUGUCACCCAGGCUGGAGUGCAAUGGUGCGAUAUCAGCUCACUGCAGCUUCGACUUCCUGGCUCAAGCAAUCUUCCCAUCUUAGCCUCCCAGGUAGCUGGGACUACAGGCACACAUCACUGCACCCAGCUAAAUUUUAAUUAUUUUUUUUAGGGACAAAGUCUCCUUCACUGUGUUGCCCAGGAUGGUCUUGAACUCCUGACCUCAGGUGAUCCUCCUUCCUUGGCCUCCCAAAGUGCUGGGAUUAUAGGCAUGGGCCAUUGCAUCUGGCCUCAUUGUUUAUUUGUUUGUUUUCAAGAUGGGGUCUCACUCUGCCACCCAGGCUGGAGUGCAGUGGUGUAAUCAUGGCUCACUGCAGCCUCAACCUUUCCUGUUAAAAUCAGCCUACAAAGCCUCGAAAUUCUCUCCCACCU
rnacentral:antisense_RNA from 1 species